CUCACUCCAAAUUUAAUAACGUAUUGUAUUCGCAAAAGAAGAUAUACUAGGAGAAAGCAAAAUGUGUUUUGUAGUAUUAAAAAAGAGUCUAUAAAGAGAGAGAGAGAGAAUGUGCAUGAAAAUAAGAAAGACAGAGAGAGGGGAGGAAAACAAAGAAGCAGGUGCAUAGGGAGAAGUGCCAUGAGUCACGUGCCCUCUUACUCGACCACGUGCCGUCGAAGCAAUCCCAAUCCAACUCCGAU